UUAAUACCGGAUAUGACCCUUUACUGCAUGGUUUUGGGUGGAAAGUUUUUCGGCUGGGGUGGGGCUCGCGGCCUAUCAGCUUGUUGGCAGGGUGAUGGCCUACCAAGGCGACGACGGGUAGCCGGCCUGAGAGGGCGGGCGGACACACUGGGACUGAGACACGGCCCAGACUCCUACGGGAGGCAGCAGUGGGGAAUAUUGCGCAAUGGGCGGAAGCCUGACGCAGCGACGCCGCGUGGGGGAUGAAGGCCUUCGGGUUGUAAACCUCUUUCACCAGGGGCGAAGGGUUACUGACGGUACCUGGGGAAGAAGCGCCGGCUAACUACGUGCCAGCAGCCGCGGUAAUACGUAGGGCGCAAGCGUUGUCCGGAAUUAUUGGGCGUAAAGAGCUCGUAGGCGGCUGGUCGCGUCUGCUGUGAAAUCCCGGGGCUUAACCCCGGGCGUGCAGUGGAUACGGGCCGGCUGGAGGCAGGCAGGGGAGAAUGGAAUUCCCGGUGUAGCGGGUGAAAUGCGCAGAUAUCGGGAGGAACACCGGUGGCGAAGGCGGUUCUCUGGGCCUGUUCUGACGCUGAGGAGCGAAAGCGUGGGGAGCGAACA
rnacentral:rRNA from 1 species